rnacentral:rRNA from 1 species
GACGAACGCUGGCGGCAUGCUUUACACAUGCAAGUCGAACGGCAGCGCGGGCUUCGGCCUGGCGUCGAGUGGCGAACGGGUGAGUAAUGCAUCGGUACGUUCCCCGUCGUGUGGGAUUGCCCGGCGAAAGCCGGAUUAAUACCGCAUACGACCUGAGGUUUAAAGCGGGGGUCCGAAAGGCCUCGCGCUAUUGGAUCAGCUGUUGUCGUAUUAGCUAGUUGGUGGGGUAAAGGCUUACCAAGGCGACGAUCCGUAGCUGGUCUGAGAGGACGACCAGCCACAGUGGGACUGAGAGACGGCCCAGACUCCUAGGGGAGGCAGCAGUGGGGAAGGUUGGACAAUGGGGGCAACACUGAUCAAGCCAUGCCGGGUGGGGGAAGAAGGGCUUCGGGUGGUAAAACGCUUUUGUGCGGGAAGAAAUCCUCUGGGAGAAUACCCCGGGGGGAUGACGGUACCGGAAGAAUAAGCACCGGCUAACUACGUG